rnacentral:tRNA from 1 species
GAGGGUAUAGCUCAGUGGUAGAGUGCAUGCUUAGCAUGCACAAGGUCCUGGGUUCAAUCCCCAGUUUCUCCG